rnacentral:RNase_P_RNA from 1 species
AGGGCAGGAUGCCGGAUAACAUCCGGUGGAGGCGACUCCAAGGCAAGUGCAACAGAAAGGAUACCGCUUUGCGUGUGCUGCCGCUUUGCGGCGGCAAGGCGCUAAGUAAGGGUGAAAUGGCAGUGUAAGAGACUACCGGCCGUGCGGUAACGUAAGGCGCAAUGUAAACCCCAUCCGAAGCAAGAUCAAGCAGAAGGUCAGGGCCUGCCCGGCUGUGUCUGUUUACGGCCUUUGCCGUUACAGGCAGACCUUCAGGUAGAUCGCUAAAGACGCAUGGCAACAUGCGGGGAAGUUAAUGCUUCCGCUGGCUAUGCCAGUCUCAGACAGAUGACCGCUUUCGACAGAACCCGGCUUACAGUCCCGCUCACACU